UUAGAUUAGAUUAGAUUAGGUUAGGUUUGGGUAGAGAAGGAUUAGGUUACGUUAGGUUUGGUUGAGUUAGAGGAGGAUUAAGUUAGAUUAUGUUAAGUUAGAUGAAUAUAAGGUUAGAUUAGGUUAGGUUAGUGGAGUUAGAUUAGAUUAGAUUAGGUUAGGUUAGGUUAGAGGAAUAUAAGGUUAGAUUAGGUUACAGCAAUAUUAGGUUAGGUUAGGUUAGAGGAAUAUAAGGUUAGAUUAGGUUAGGUUAUUGCAAAGUUAGGUUACAUUAGGUUAGAUUAUGUUAGAGCAAUAUUAGGUUAGCUUAGGUUAGAGGAAUAUAAGGUUAGAUUAGGUUAGGUUAUUGCAAGGUUAGGUUAUAUUAGGUUAGGUUAUUGCAAGGUUAGGUUAUAUUAGGUUAGG